rnacentral:rRNA from 1 species
CAGCACCUCAAGUGGUCAGGAUGAUUAUUGGGCCUAAAGCAUCCGUAGCCGGCUCUGUAAGUUUUCGGUUAAAUCUGUACGCUCAACGUACAGGCUGCCGGGAAUACUGCAGAGCUAGGGAGUGGGAGAGGUAGACGGUACUCGGUAGGAAGGGGUAAAAUCCUUUGAUCUAUUGAUGACCACCUGUGGCGAAGGCGGUCUACCAGAACACGUCCGACGGUGAGGGAUGAAAACUGGGGGAGCAAACCGGAUUAGAUACCCGAGUAGUCC